UACGGAGGAUGCGAGCGUUAUCCGGAUUUAUUGGGUUUAAAGGGAGCGUAGGCGGGUUGUUAAGUCAGUUGUGAAAGUUUGCGGCUCAACCGUAAAAUUGCAGUUGAUACUGGCAUCCUUGAGUACAGUAGAGGUAGGCGGAAUUCGUGGUGUAGCGGUGAAAUGCUUAGAUAUCAUGAAGAACUCCGAUUGCGAAGGCAGCCUGCUGGACUGUAACUGACGCUGAUGCUCGAAAGUGUGGGUAUCAAACAGG
rnacentral:rRNA from 1 species